rnacentral:rRNA from 1 species
AUUGAACGCUGGCGGCAGGCCUAACACAUGCAAGUCGAGCGAGCGGCGGACGGGUGAGUAAUGUAUGGGGACUGCCCGAUAGAGGGGGAUAACUACUGGAAACGGUAGCUAAUACCGCAUUCUAUCGGAUAACCCAUAUGGGAUGAGCUAGUAGGUGAGGUAAUGGCUCACCUAGGCGACGAUCCCUAGCUGGUUUGAGAGGACGACCAGCCAAACUGGGAUGGGGACACGGCCAAGACUCCUACGGAGGCAGAAGUGGGGAAUUUGGGAAAAUGGGGGAAACCCUGAUCAAGCCAUCCCGCGUGUAUGAUGAAGGUCUUCGGGUGGUAAAGUACUUUUGGCAGAGAAGCGGUAUCUGCAGAAUAAGCACCGGCUAACUACGUGCCAGCAGCCGCGGUAAUAC